UACGUAGGGACCGAGCGUUGUCCGGAAUCAUUGGGCGUAAAGAGCGUGUAGGCGGCCUUUUAAGUCCUGCGUGAAAUCCUGCGGCUCAACCGCAGACGGUCGUGGGAAACUGGAAGGCUAGAGUGCGGGAGAGGAGAGUGGAAUUCCCGGUGUAGCGGUGAAAUGCGCAGAUAUCGGGAGGAACACCAGUGGCGAAGGCGACUUCCUGGCCUGUUCUUGACGCUGAGGCGCGAAAGCUAGGGUAGCAAACGGG
rnacentral:rRNA from 1 species